UACUCCUACGGGAGGCAGCAGUGGGGAAUAUUGGACAAUGGGCGAAAGCCUGAUCCAGCCAUGCCGCGUGUGUGAAGAAGGUCUUCGGAUUGUAAAGCACUUUAAGUUGGGAGGAAGGGUUGUAGGUUAAUACCCUGCAAUUUUGACGUUACCAACAGAAUAAGCACCGGCUAACUUCGUGCCAGCAGCCGCGGUAAU
rnacentral:rRNA from 1 species